AUCCAUAGGUUAAUGAGGCGAACCGGGGGAACUGAAACAUCUAAGUACCCCGAGGAAAAGAAAUCAACCGAGAUUCCCCCAGUAGCGGCGAGCGAACGGGGAGGAGCCCAGAGCCUGAAUCAGUGUGUGUGUUAGUGGAAGCGUCUGGAAAGGCGCGCGAUACAGGGUGACAGCCCCGUACACAAAAAUGCACAUACUGUGAGCUCGAUGAGUAGGGCGGGACACGUGGUAUCCUGUCUGAAUAUGGGGGGACCAUCCUCCAAGGCUAAAUACUCCUGACUGACCGAUAGUGAACCAGUACCGUGAGGGAAAGGCGAAAAGAACCCCGGCGAGGGGAGUGAAAAAGAACCUGAAACCGUGUACGUACAAGCAGUGGGAGCACAGAGCAAUCUGUGUGACUGCGUACCUUUUGUAUAAUGGGUCAGCGACUUAUAUUCUGUAGCAAGGUUAACCGAAUAGGGGAGCCGAAGGGAAACCGAGUCUUAACUGGGCGUU
rnacentral:rRNA from 1 species